rnacentral:rRNA from 1 species
GACGAACGCUGGCGGCGUGCCUAACACAUGCAAGUCGAACGGAGUUUUAUGGAAUGCGACUUCGGUCAAAUGAAGUUUAAACUUAGUGGCGGACGGGUGAGUAACGCGUGAGCAACCUGCCUUACAGAGGGGGACAACAGUUGGAAACGACUGCUAAUACCGCAUAACGUGCCGGAAGGACAUCCUUUUGGUACCAAAGGAGCAAUCCGCUGUAAGAUGGGCUCGCGUCCGAUUAGAUAGUUGGUGAGGUAACGGCCCACCAAGUCGACGAUCGGUAGCCGGACUGAGAGGUUGAACGGCCACAUUGGGACUGAGACACGGCCCAGACUCCUACGGGAGGCAGCAGUGGGGGAUAUUGCACAAUGGAGGAAACUCUGAUGCAGCAACGCCGCGUGAGGGAAGAAGGUUUUCGGAUUGUAAACCUCUGUUUUUAGUGAAGAACAAAUGACGGUAGCUAAAGAGGAAGCCAACGGCUAACUACGUG